UACGUAGGGUCCGAGCGUUGUCCGGAAUUAUUGGGCGUAAAGAGCUCGUAGGCGGUUUGUCGCGUCUGCUGUGAAAUCUCGAGGCUCAACUUCGAGCUGUCGGUGGAAACUGUCUGGCUAGAGUCCGGAAGAGGAGAAUGGAAUUCCUGGUGUAGCGGUGAAAUGCGCAGAUAUCAGGAAGAACACCCGUGGCGAAGGCGGUUCUCUGGGACGGUACUGACGCUGAGACGCGAAAGCGUGGGGAGCGAACAGG
rnacentral:rRNA from 1 species